UCCAAAAAGGUUGUUGUUAUACAA
rnacentral:siRNA from 1 species